GUGAGGAAUUUUCCGCAAUGGGCGAAAGCCUGACGGAGCAAUGCCGCGUGAAGGAUGAAGGCCUAUGGGUUGUAAACUUCUUUUCUCAGAAAAGAAUUAUGACGGUAUCUGAGGAAUAAGCAUCGGCUAACUAUGUGCCAGCAGCCGCGGUAAGACAGAGGAUGCAAGCGUUAUCCGGAAUGAUUGGGCGUAAAGCGUCUGUAGGUUGUUUAUAAAGUAUUCUGUCAAAGAUUAGGGCUUAACCCUAGAUAGGCAGAAUAAACUUUUAAGCUAGAGUUUGGUAGAGGCAGAGGGAAUUCCCGGUGGAGCGGUGAAAUGCGUAGAUAUCGGGAGGAACACCAAAGGCGAAGGCACUCUGCUGGGCCAAUACUAACACUGAGAGACGAAAGCGAGGGGAGCAAAUGGGAUUAGAUACCCGAGUAGUCC
rnacentral:rRNA from 1 species